rnacentral:misc_RNA from 1 species
CUAAAUGUAGUAUACUAGGUGCUAUUAAUUUAGAAUUCUCCCCAUUUACAGUAAUUGUAAAUGGGGAUAUUGGUAGUUCACAACGA